GGGAUCACUUCAGAAGCACAUAUAAUAAAAUUAGAACAAUACAGAGAAGAUUAGCAUGGCCCCUGUGUAAGGAUGACACACAAAUUUGUGAAGAGAUACAGAAGAGG